UACGUAGGUGGCAAGCGUUUGUCCGGAUUUACUGGGCGUAAAGAGCGCGCAGGCGGUCGUCCAAGUCGCGUGUGAAAGCCCCCCGGCUCAACUGGGGGAGGGUCACGCGAUACUGAUCGACUCGAAGGCAGGAGAGGGUAGUGGAAUUCCCGGUGUAGUGGUGAAAUGCGUAGAUAUCGGGAGAACACCAGUGGCGAAGGCGACUACCUGGCCUGUUCUUGACGCUGAGGCGCGAAAGCUAGGGGAGCAAACGGGG
rnacentral:rRNA from 1 species